GAUUCAAACCGCCUCCGCCUUUGACGCCGCCGCCGCUCUUAUGGUCUGCCGUUUCGGACCAAUCGUUAGAGUUGUUUUUUUCUUUCUCUUCUCUCUAGCUACAGCCCACCGCCGCCCCCUCCUCACCACUCCUGCGGAGCCCUCUACCUAGCCUUCGACCUUCAAGGAAGGCUUCGUCUCUAGGACUCCUACCUCUAACGUAGGGACCACUUGAACGAGUCCCUCUUGGUCAGACUGUAAGAAGUUAAGCUGGGACUCUAGCGCUCCUUCUAGUGCAGGGACUCCUCGCUCUAGCGUACGGUCUUCAACCGCUCCCUCGCGUUUCGGAGCCAAGGCCUCCGCUUUGCGUGUCACCGCUCCUCCGCAUUUUUCAAGCGACGACACGCCUCCCAGCGCCUCUUCCUCCUCUUGUACCGGCCAGUCCUCCCGCACCUAGACGGGUUGACGCUAUGGGUCUCGUACUCGAGGGUUCAGUCAACGUAGAGACUCGUCUACGGGCUCGCCACGCUGGUCUUCCUCUAACUGAGCCCCUUUUAGUUUGGACGGAGGCCUAAGUAUAGGUUGAGGCUCGUACAUAUAAACGGGGUGCCGCCACUCCUACUCCCGCUCGCGGAUUUGACGAAUAAGUCAAUAUAUAACGUUGACUGCCUACGGAACACGCUGCUCUACCGUAGGUACCGUAGAUAAGACCGGUUUUAGUCAUAGGGGCAAUAGAGGAUAAUGUUCCAGAAGCUAGUCAAUUUGCGCCGCGUCUCCAAUAGAUUCUAGAGGGACCUAUAUAAUGUAAGUUGGCGCUUACGUCUAUUUUUCUACCGACUGGUUUUACGACUCCUGGUCUCCCGGCUUCUCCUGUUUCCGUUUAGGUCGUGGGUGACAAAACUCUUGGUCCCUUGGUUCGUUGUACACCUACGUAGACAUUGUCUAGCCUGUUACCCGGAAACAUUUAGUUUGUACCUUUGCGGCGUCUACCGACGGAUGACAGGACUACCGGUCUACUGACUACUCCUCCUACUUGUAAAGCACCGUCGCCUAGGAUAUUCACCGGAAACACUGGUCCGCUGACAGGUGAGAGUGCUCUUGGUCUCAUGGUGCCUCAUGUACCUCUACCAACUAGGGUACUGUCUACUUCCGGUUAGUUCGUGCCUCUGCGUACGCAGCUCCUACUACCUGCCCCCGUUAAGUUCGUCGCUUCCGUUUAGUUCGUUACUUCCGGUUAGUUCAUGCCUCUGCGUACGUAGCUCCCACUACCUGCUCCCGUUAAGUUCGUUACUUCCGUUUAGUUCGUUGCUUUCGUUUAGUUCGUGUUUCCGUCACCACUACCACGACCUAAGGCUACUCCUCGUACUUCACGUCCCAUACUGGUACCUCUACGCGUUUAUAAACUUCUACGAGCUUACACUCCUCCUCCUCCUCCUCCCCUUCUACUGGGGCCUCCUAAAUCGCUACCGACUGGUUAAACUCUUCCUCGAUAAUCUCUACCUUCGGUUGAAAGAGUUUCAGGUCCUCGUCCUACUAUUCCUGUGCGGUUUGACCUAGAGACAGAGUGUAGUCCUACUAUUCCUGUGCGGUUUGACCUAGAGACAGAGUGUAGUCCUACUCCGUCUCCUCUACCUCAACCUCCUGUCCAGCAAACGAUCUGCGGCAUUCCCGACCCUUAGACGUACCCCUCUGGCGUCACUGAAGCUUCUGAACUGGAAUAACUCAGGAUACGUGAAAUGUGUAACGUGCGACCCUGACUAGGGGAUGUGACGAUCGUGACACUCGCGGAACGUCUAGAUGAGACAGUUCUAACAACUUUGUUUCCCUUUCAACUUCACCGGUGAGAUACAGAUAUCCCAGCAGCGACGGGCUCUACGGCAUCUAGUGUUGGCAUUGUAAGAGAAGAGAGCCGUUUCCCUUCUGAUGGUUCUUGAGUGAGAUCUCCUAGGAAAAAACGUGGACUGACCGGGCAGAGCACGCUAACACCGACACCUGUUACAACUGAAGCUUUAGGUUGAGUUUCAUUUCCCGUGUUGUACCAGACCACUGUUUCGUAACUAGUCAGUGAAGGUCUGGAUGGGGCCACUAGCACUUCCAAAUCUAUGUCGCGAGAAAUCGUUGAGGAAAACGUGCUAUCUCAAUACAAAACUCGCUGAAUGUCUUUGGCAGGUCCGAUGAUAGAACUCACAGACACAACAACUUCCCACCGGUAGUGGAAAACUUAUGCCGCCGGCCUAAUACACGAGGAGUGGUGGUGUCCUUCAAUUCCUGGGGGAUAGGUCCGUACAACACAACCAACUAAGAGUACUAAAACUACCUCUUUACGGUUACCCGAGUCGACCAAUGCAACUAGACAGUUCCGUACAACAAAGACAUCUUGACCCUGUAUUGGACGUUAAACAGUAUGUUCGAAUGAGUGUCAGACCACGGUAACGAUCCGUUUCGGCAGAGUGCAAAUCCUGGUUUAUAACGUUGUAUUCAGCUCCAUAUACACUCUAACCACUGAGAUUCCACCUCUAAUGACAACGAACCAGGGUCGAAUAGUUCUCGUUCUACCUUUAGGAGAUUCUUCCUUACCAAGAAAACCGCACCUACGAUAAGAACAGAACAACUUGCCUCCUAACACCAUAUAACAACUUCUAACCACUAAGAUUCGGUGGUCUUUCCUGGCAACGAACAACUUCUAACACCAUAGGAGAUUCUUCUAACCACUAAGAUUCUACCUUUAGGAGAUUCUUCCUAACAACUUGCCUCCUUACUAAGUGUGGCGGGUAAAAUAGACAAGAACAGAACGUACACCCAACGCUUUGACAGGUACAUAAACACAUAACUAAUCGAUCAUACAGGUUGACAAACACGUAGCUGGAUUACAAUAGGCUGAUAAACACGGAUGAUGUUAAAUAAUAAUACGAC
rnacentral:rRNA from 1 species